GCCAGCAUGGUACAGUGGUUUGAGCAUUGGACUAUAACUCUAGAAACCAAGGUUUGAAUCCUGGUUUGGCC